rnacentral:lncRNA from 1 species
GAACAUUUGUGAAUGAAAAAAUAUAGUUCAUGUUCGGUCCGUUAUGAAAGAAUUUAGAAGUACAUUUUCUGUGAAAUAUUUUUUUGCACUAAUCUUUCACAUACGCUUCUCAGCCCUCAUGUAUGCACCCAAGAAAACCGAAUUAUGCAGCUCGAGUGAUCGUGUAAUUUGAUCUUCCUAAUUUGUAACAAUUUGCAGACAUUGAGUAAAAGGCAGGAUUGAAAUCGUGAAAGAAUUGGUUCGUACGAAACCUGAUGCAGCUUGAGUGAUCGUGGGUCAAGGACAGACCAUUGUGCAUUUGUGUGUGAAGUACUAUCAGAUUCAAGCCUUCAAGAUCUUAGUGUAAAAACUCCUAAAACUGUUGUUACAUGCUAAUUGAUUUCGAACACUUUUCGUGGUCGGAGUUUGUCUUGUUGGAACUAAAAUCGAGUUUUGUUCACGUGACUUGGCCCUGGGAAAUGUUUAUAUAAAUUUUGAUUUGGACUUCUGAUUUUAAUGCAAAACAGGU